rnacentral:rRNA from 1 species
CUACGGUGGCACCAGUGGGGAAUAUUGCACAAUGGACGAAAGUCUGAUGCAGCAACGCCGCGUGGAGGAUGACACAUUUCGGUGCGUAAACUCCUUUUAUAUAGGAAGAUAAUGACGGUACUAUAUGAAUAAGCACCGGCUAACUCCGUGCCAGCAGCCGCGGUAAUACGGAGGGUGCAAGCGUUACUCGGAAUUACUGGGCGUAAAGAGCGUGUAGGCGGAUAGAUAAGUUGGAAGUGAAAUCCUAUGGCUCAACCAUAGAACUGCUUCCAAAACUGUCUAUCUAGAAUGUGGGAGAGGUAGAUGGAAUUUCUGGUGUAGGGGUAACAUCCGUAGAGAUCAGAAGGAAUACCGAUUGCGAAGGCGAUCUACUGGAACAUAAUUGACGCUGAGACGCGAAAGCGUGGGGAGCAAACAGGAUUAGAUACCCUCGUAGUC